AUUGAACGCUGGCGGAAUGCUUUACACAUGCAAGUCGAACGGCAGCACGGACUUCGGUCUGGUGGCGAGUGGCGAACGGGUGAGUAAUGUAUCGGAACGUGCCCAGUCGUGGGGGAUAACGUAGUGAAAAUUACGCUAAUACCGCAUACGAUCUAUGGAUGAAAGCGGGGGAUCGCAAGACCUCGCGCGAUUGGAGCGGCCGAUAUCAGAUUAGGUAGUUGGUGGGGUAAAGGCCCACCAAGCCAACGAUCUGUAGCUGGGCUGAGAGGACGACCAGCCACACUAGAAGGUAGACACGGUCCAGACUCCUACGGGAGGCAGCAGUGGGGAAUUUUGGACAAUGGGCGAAAGCCUGAUCCAGCCAUUCCGCGUGCAGGAUGAAGGCCCUCGGGUUGUAAACUGCUUUUGUACAGAACGAAAAGGUUUCUACUAAUACUAGGAGCUCAUGACGGUACUGUAAGAAUAAGCACCGGCUAACUACGUGCCAGCCGCCGCCGUAA
rnacentral:rRNA from 1 species